rnacentral:rRNA from 1 species
CUCGUAGUUGGAUUUCUGGUGGGAGCGAUCGGUCCGACGCUUAGCGUGGGUACUUGCAUUGUCUCCGGCCAUCCUUGGGGAGAGUUUGUCUGGCAUUAAGUUGUCGGGCAGAGGAUCCUCAUCGUUUACUGUGAAAAAAUUAGAGUGUUCAAAGCAGGCUUAUGCCGUUGAAUAUAUUAGCAUGGAAUAAUAAGAUAGGACUUUGGUACUAUUUUGUUGGUUUGCGCACCAAAGUAAUGAUUAAUAGGGACAGUUGGGGGUAUUCGUAUUCCGUUGUCAGAGGUGAAAUUCUUGGAUUUACGGAAGACGAACUACUGCGAAAGCAUUUACCAA